rnacentral:rRNA from 1 species
AAAACAUAACCUUUAGCAUAACCAAUAUUAAAGGCAACGCCUGCCCAGUGAAACCAAUUCAACGGCCGCGGUACCCUAACCGUGCAAAGGUAGCGUAAUCAUUUGUCUAUUAAUUGUAGACCAGUAUGAAAGGCCACAUGAGAAUCAGACUGUCUCUUGUAAUCACUCAAUUAAACUGAUCUUCUAGUACAAAAGCUAGAAUAAACAUAUAAGACCAGAAGACCCUGUGAAGCUUAAACUAACCCAUUAAACCAAAUAAUGGCCACUUUCGGUUGGGGCGACCUUGGAACUAAACAAAACUUCCAAACAACACAUGAACUAUCAUUCAUUUACUAGGCUAACAAGCCACAAUACGACCCAGUCAUACUGAUCAAUGAACCAAGUUACUCCAGGGAUAACAGCGCUAUCUUCUUCAAGAGCCCAUAUCAAAAAGAAGGUUUACGACCUCGAUGUUGGAUCAGGACACCCCAAUGGUGCAGCCGCUAUUAAAGGUUCGUUUGUUCAACGAUUAACAGUCCUACGUGAU